rnacentral:rRNA from 1 species
GCGCCUUGCCACGCCCGCUCAGAAACUCGAAAGGAAUUGACGGGCCCCGCACAAGCAGCGGAGCGUGUGGUUUAAUUCGAUGCUACACGAAGAACCUUACCAGGGUUUGACAUACAAGUAGUAGGGAAAGGAAACUGGACCGACCCUUCGGGGAGCUUGAACAGGUGCUGCAUGGCUGUCGUCAGCUCGUGUCGUGAGAUGUUCGGUUAAGUCCGCUAACGAGCGCAACCCUCGCUGUGUGUUACAAGUGUCACACGGAACUGCCGGUCAUAAACCGGAGGAAGGUGGGGAUGACGUCAAGUCAGCAUGGCCUUUAUAUCCUGGGCUACACACACGCUACAAUGGGAAGGGACAAUAGGUUGCGAAACCGCGAGGUGGAGCCAAUCCAGCAAAACUUCCCUCAGUUCAGAUUGCAGGCUGCAACUCGCCUGCAUGAAGUUGGAGUUGCUAGUAAACGCAGGUCAGCCAUACUGCGUUGAAUACGUUCCCGGGGCUU